GAUGAACGCUGGCGGCGUGCCUAAUACAUGCAAGUCGAGCGAACGGACGAGAAGCUUGCUUCUCUGAUGUUAGCGGCGGACGGGUGAGUAACACGUGGAUAACCUACCUAUAAGACUGGGAUAACUUCGGGAAACCGGAGCUAAUACCGGAUGAUAUUUUGAACCGCAUGGUUCAAAAGUGAAAGACGGUCUUGCUGUCACUUAUAGAUGGAUCCGCGCUGCAUUAGCUAGUUGGUAAGGUAACGGCUUACCAAGGCAACGAUGCAUAGCCGACCUGAGAGGGUGAUCGGCCACACUGGAACUGAGACACGGUCCAGACUCCUACGGGAGGCAGCAGUAGGGAAUCUUCCGCAAUGAGCGAAAGCCUGACGGAGCAACGCCGCGUGAGUGAUGAAGGUCUACGGAUCGUAAAACUCUGUUAUUAGAGAAGAACAUAUGUGUAAGUAACUGUGCACAUCUUGACGGUACCUAAUCAGAAAGCCACGGCUAACUGCGU
rnacentral:rRNA from 1 species